GAUGAACGCUAGCGGCAGGCCUAAUACAUGCAAGACGAACGGUAAGUUGAGUAGCAAUACUUAGCCAAGAGUGUCGUACGGGUGCGUAACACGUAUGCAACCUACCCUAUACAGGAGGAUAGCCUAGGGAAACCUGGAUUAACCCUUCAUAGUAUUAUUGGAUGGCAUCAUUUGAUAAUUAAAACUGAGGUGGUAUAGGAUGGGCAUGCGUCUGAUUAGUUAGUUGGCGGGUAAUGGCCCACCAAGACGAUGAUCAGUAGGGGUUCUGAGAGGAAGAUCCCCCACACUGGGACUGAGACACGGCCCAGACUCCUACGGGAGGCAGCAGUGGGGGAAUUUUGGACAAUGGGCGCAAGCCUGAUCCAGCAAUGCCGCGUGCAGGAUGAAGGCCU
rnacentral:rRNA from 1 species